rnacentral:lncRNA from 1 species
AAGAUUUUAAAUUGAACGAUUGUGGAUAUUAAGUUUGCGUUACACUAAUAUAAUAACGACACAACACAAGGAAAAUUAAAUUAUUGAAUUAUUCUGUAACCGAAAGAUUUAUAAAUAUUAUAAAUCGGAAGAUUAAACCAUUGAAUUAUUUUGUAAUCGAAAAGAUUUACGAAUAUUAUAACCAAAAGAUUUAUCCAAUAGUUUAAUUUUUCUUAUGUUAUGUCGUUAGUAUAUCAUAUGGGAGAAAAUGAUGAGAUGAUAGAAAUGGAAGUGGCUCGUCAGCAAGCGACGUAUUAAUUAAUUAUACAGAGUGUGUAGAUAGAAUAAAACCGAGAACUACAACCAUCAUUGGAAACAAAUUUUACAGAAGGUCUUUUAUGUUUGGCAGAGUCCUGGUAAAAAGCAAGCGAAAAAUCUUCCAUGAUGGGAGCAAGGGCCUAGAUUUUCUCGAUCUCCUUCAUCUCGAUCUUUCGCCUUCCUCUGGUCUUCUUGGCAACUGGAGGGUUGAUGCUCUCGCUGCCGCUGCUGCUGGGCGCGAC